UCUUGGCUCAAAUACUAUUUGUAACUUCUUAAGCCAACCGCGUGUAGAUAUUGUCCAUUUUAGUCCGUUACAUAUAACCGUAAGCCUCAGGGUUUAAAAUCCAUCUACUGUGAAGAAGUUUCUACACCUUUUUUAGAAUGCUUCGUUUCUUUCUCCAAUCAAUAUGUGGGGUCUUAUACUUAUGCCCAAUUUGAACCCGAAGGAUAAAGGAAAUCCAGGAGAAAUACCAGGAUAUACCAAGGUGGCUCCUGUGAUUGCUCAUUUUGUUUGGAAAAUGGUUCUACCUUUAUUUCAUCUCCACCUGUUGCACAGAAUCUCAAUACAGAAAACCCUAUGCAAAAUUUAGGAAGUUCCCAAAUCAAUUUCAUUAUCCAAGGAAGAAGGGAUCCUAAUGGCUUCUGAUGUGUUUUGGUCCAAUAAUGACCCAACUGGAGAGAGCGAAAAAGGCAUGCAGCAGCAUUCGAAUUAUCAGUGUGCAGAGGAGGAUUACCUACAAGAUCCUGAUCUAUCCUGCUUUGACAUUGGGGAGAUUGGUUAGGUUAGCAUGAUUCUUUGGUUUUAUCUCAUAUCAUGCUUUUGAAUCAUGAGAGAAACAAUAUCUUUUUCCCAAUCAAUCAAUAUAUAUAUAUAUAUAUAUAUAUGAAUCAUUAGUAUUUUAUGAAUCUUUAGAAGAAGAAGACUACAUUCAA